rnacentral:rRNA from 1 species
GCAAGCGUUGUUCGGAAUUAUUGGGCGUAAAGGGUAGGUAGGUGGUCUCAUUUGUCUGGGGUGAAAGCCUUGAGCUUAACUCAAGAAGUGCCCUAGAAACGGUGAGACUGGAGUCCUGGAGAGGGUCGUGGAAUUCCCGGUGUAGCGGUGAAAUGCGUAGAGAUCGGGAGGAACACCAGAGGCGAAGGCAGCCCCCUGGGCCAAUACUGACGCUCAGGCACGAAAGCGUGGGGAGCAAACAGG